rnacentral:rRNA from 1 species
AGCAGCCGCGGUAAUUCCAGCUCCAAUAGCGUAUAUUAAAGUUGUUGCAGUUAAAAAGCUCGUAGUUGAAUUUUGGAUUCUUCCAAUUGGUCCAUCUUUUAGAUGAGUACUGGUUGUGUGGGGUCUAUCCGCCUGGUGAUACGUAAUGUCCUUUAUUGGAUGUUGCGGGUAGUCAGGACCUUUACCUUGAAAAAAUUAGAGUGUUUAAAGCAGGCUUAUGCCGGAAUACAUUAGCAUGGAAUAAUAGAAUAGGACGAAGUUGUUUUAUUUUGUUGGUUUCUAGGACAACCGUAAUGAUUAAUAGGGAUAGUUGGGGGCAUUAGUAUUCAAUUGUCAGAGGUGAAAUUCUUGGAUUUAUUGAAGACUAACUACUGCGAAAGCAUUUGCCAAGGAUGUUUUUCAUUAAUCAAGAACGAAAGUUAGGGGAUCGAAGACGAUCAGAUACCGUCGUAGUCUUAACCAUAAACUAUGCCGACUAGGGAUCGGCGGAAUUGUUGUUUCCAUGACUCGCUCGGCACCU